AUGCUCUACUGACUGAGCACAUAUACUAAAACUGGAAUGAUUCAGAGAAGAUUAGCAUGGCCCCUGCACAAGGAUGGCAUGCAAAUUCAUGAAGCAUUACAUAUUUUU